rnacentral:rRNA from 1 species
UGGGGAAUAUUGCACAAUGGGCGAAAGCCUGAUGCAGCAACGCCGCGUGAGUGAUGAAGGCCUUCGGGUCGUAAAACUCUGUCCUCAAGGAAGAUAAUGACGGUACUUGAGGAGGAAGCCCCGGCUAACUACGUGCCAGCAGCCGCGGUAAUACGUAGGGGGCUAGCGUUAUCCGGAUUUACUGGGCGUAAAGGGUGCGUAGGUGGUUUUUUAAGUCAGGAGUGAAAGGCUACGGCUCAACCGUAGUAAGCUCUUGAAACUGGAAGACUUGAGUGCAGGAGAGGAAAGUGGAAUUCCUAGUGUAGCGGUGAAAUGCGUAGAUAUUAGGAGGAACACCAGUAGCGAAGGCGGCUUUCUGGACUGUAACUGACACUGAGGCACGAAAGCGUGGGGAGCAAACA